UGCUACGUACGCUGACGAUAUUGCCCU
rnacentral:piRNA from 1 species